GGUGCUGUGGCUCAAGUGGUAGAGUGCUUGCCUUGCAUGCAUGAGGCCCUGGGUUCGAUUCCUCAGCACCA
rfam:Dipodomys ordii contig_15652, whole genome shotgun sequence.